UCAAAGGAAUUGACGGGGAGCACCACAACGGGUGGAGCUUGCGGUUUAAUUGGAUUCAACGCCGGAAAUCUUACCGGGACCGACAGCAAUAUGAAGGCCAGGCUGAAGACUUUGCCGGAUUAGCUGAGAGGUGGUGCAUGGCCGUCGUCAGUUCGUACUGUGAAGCAUCCUGUUAAGUCAGGCAACGAGCGAGACCCACGCCCACAGUUGCCAGCGUACUCUCUGGAGUGACGGGUACACUGUGGGGACCGCCGCUGCUAAAGCGGAGGAAGGAAUGGGCAACGGUAGGUCAGUAUGCCCCGAAUAUCUCGGGCUACACGCGAGCUACAAUGGUUGGUACAAUGGGUAUCUACCCCGAAAGGGGACGGGAAUCUCCUAAAACCAAUCUUAGUUCGGAUUGAGGGCUGCAACUCGCCCUCAUGAAGCUGGAAUCCGUAGUAAUCGCGUUUCAACAGAACGCGGUGAAUACGUCCCUGCUCCUU
rnacentral:rRNA from 1 species